rnacentral:rRNA from 1 species
AUUGAACGCUGGCGGCAUGCCUUACACAUGCAAGUCGAACGGCAGCACGGGAGCUUGCUCCUGGUGGCGAGUGGCGAACGGGUGAGUAAUGCAUCGGAACGUGCCCUGAGGUGGGGGAUAACGUAGCGAAAGUUACGCUAAUACCGCAUAUUCUGUGAGCAGGAAAGCAGGGGAUCUUCGGACCUUGCGCUUUUUGGAGCGGCCGAUGUCGGAUUAGCUAGUUGGUGGGGUAAAGGCCCACCAAGGCGACGAUCCGUAGCGGGUCUGAGAGGAUGAUCCGCCACACUGGAACUGAGACACGGUCCAGACUCCUACGGGAGGCAGCAGUGGGGAAUUUUGGACAAUGGGCGCAAGCCUGAUCCAGCCAUGCCGCGUGAGUGAAGAAGGCCUCGGUUGUAAG